UGGAAACAUACCUCUUGUUGUUUGUGUCUUAUAUUUUUACACAAGUAUAAUUACAUAUCUAAAAAUUAGAAUGGAUUUGAAACCUCUACUGUCGUGUCUGUUGGUGUUGUGCUUGGUUGUUGGUUUACACGCAAAAGCGGUUAUUUGCUUUUGGAGCACGUAUACAACACAGUUGGUUAUGAAAAUCUGGAGUAUCAACGUCUCCUCGUAAGAUAAGUCUGUCUAACCUCCAGGAAGUAGAAAUUUGGUUGGGUACACGAAAAGAUAAUAUCCAUAGCAACGCUUGAAGAAGUAUCCGAGGAAAGCCUUCUGCUCUUUUUCUAAAAUAAGUUGCGGCUUCUUUCAUAAUCUUGCAGUCUGUAAAAAGUAUUACAAUUGUCCUUCCAUGUAUCAAGUCCAAAGUAAUGUGUACAAUGAAUGUGGAACUUCGUACGUUUGCUGUUUAAAAGGAUUAACUGACUAACUGGUAUAAUUUAAACAGUGAAACAAUAAAAUUUAAACAAUAAAACAUUAUUUUAC